GGUUAACUGUGGGUUCUGUCUCGGACGUCCGGUUUGCGCGUUUCGGCGUGCUUGCUGGAUUUUGAUUACCUUUGAAUAACCUCAAGGUUGUUUCAUAAAAAGGCUUUUUGCCUAUUAUGAUUUUUGCCAUGGAAUAAUGGAACAAGACUUCGGUCUGUUUUGUGGUCUUAGACCGUGUAAUGAUAAAAGGGAUUGACGGGGGCAUCCGUAUCGCUACGCGAGAGGUGAAAUUCUGGACCGUAGCGGGACGCCCUACUGCGAAAGCAUUUGUCAAGAAUGUCUUCAUUAAUCAAGAACGAAAGUCAGAGGAUCGAAGGCGAUUAGAUACCGCCCUAGUUCUGACCGUAAACGCUACCAACUAGCGAUGAGGCGGUGGCAAUUUCGCCCUGCCUCGGAGCUUCCCGGAAACGAAAGUCUUCGGGUUCCGGGGGUAGUAUGGUUGCAAAGCUGAAACUUAAAGGAAUUGACGGAAGGGCACCACCAGGAGUGGAGCCUGCGGCUUAAUUUGACUCAACACGGGAAACCUCACCCGGCCCGGACACUGUUAUGAUUGACAGAUUGAGAGUUUUUUCUUGAUUCGGUGGUUGGUGGUGCAUGGCCGUUCUUAGUUCGUGGAUUGAUUUGUCUGCUUUAUUGCGAUAACGAACGAGACCGCAACCUCUAGAUAGUUCUCUGAUAGCUUUGUCAGUUGAACUUCCUAGUGGGAUAAGUGG
rnacentral:rRNA from 1 species